GACGAACGCUGGCGGCGUGCUUAACACAUGCAAGUCGAACGGAAAGGCCUGCUUUCCCUUGUGGAUUGCGGGUACUCGAGUGGCGAACGGGUGAGUAACACGUGAGUGAUCUGCCCCCAACUUGGGUAUAAGCCUGGGAAACUGGGUCUAAUUCCCGAUAGGACUGCAGGGUGGUGCCUGUGGUGGAAAACGAUUUUCUAGUGGUUGGGGAUGAGCUCGCGGCCUAUCAGCUUGUUGGUGGGGUAAUGGCCUACCAAGGCGGCGACGGGUAGCCGGCCUGGGAGGGUGGACGGCCACAUUGGGACUGAGAUACGGCCCAGACUCCUACGGGAGGCAGCAGUGGGGAAUAUUGCACAAUGGGCGGAAGCCUGAUGCAGCGACGCCGCGUGGGGGAUGACGGCCUUCGGGUUGUAAACUCCUUGCGACCGCGAGGAAGCCACCUGGUUGGAAGGGUGGUGACGGUAGUGGUAGAAGAAGCACCGGCUAACUACGUG
rnacentral:rRNA from 1 species